rnacentral:rRNA from 1 species
UACAUGGGGUGCAAACGUUGCUCGGAAUCAUUGGGCGUAAAGCGCGCGUAGGCGGUUACUUAUGUCGGAUGUGAAAGCCCUCGGCUUAACUGAGGAAGUGCAUUCGAAACUGGGUAGCUAGAGUACUAAAGAGGGUCGCGGAAUUCCCGGUGUAGAGGUGAAAUUCGUAGAUAUCGGGAGGAACACCGGUGGCGAAGGCGGCGACCUGGGUAGAUACUGACGCUGAGGAGCGAAAGCGUGGGGAGCGAACAGG